CGUACAGACUGGUCACCGCCAUGGAGUUUGACUUGGCUGCUGGUACGCUCCCCGGGAGUGGUGGAUUUGCGGUGCAAGGGGCCGGACUCAAAGCCUGGGAUUCCUACAGAAGGGACGUCCCGUCGCCUACACAACUCAUUUAACUCCCCUCUUCUCUGCAGCCCUGGGCCCUGGUUCUAAGAAGCCAGAGGGGGCUGGUCAAGUGGGAGACCCCAAACACUGUCCUCUAAAGGCGCCGGGCCGGCCAGAGGCAGGCGCUGCUCACAAGCCGAGGCAUGGCCCUGGCGGCUCCUCCGACUCCAGCAGUAGUAGCAGCAGCAGCAGCUCCAGCGACUCAGAGGCAGAGGGGAAGGCGCACGCCGCUGGCUGCAAGAAGCAUGAACGCUCCUCAGACAAGGCCAAGAAACCCAAAGUGAAGAAGGAGAGGAAAAAGAAAGAGAAGACUCCCCAUUAACUUAUUAAACUUGCAGCCCUUUCCGCUCCCCGGCGCCCUCUGCCGGGCAGGAGCGGAGGCCGCGCCGAGCCC
rnacentral:lncRNA from 1 species